rnacentral:rRNA from 1 species
CCCUUAGAUGUCCUGGGCCGCACGCGCGCUACACUGAACGGAUCAGCGCGUUUUCCCUUCCCGAGAGGGACGGGUAACCCGCUGAACCCCGUUCGUGGUAGGGAUCGGGGCUUGCAAUUAUUCCCCGUGAACCAGGAAUGCCCAGUAAGUGCAAGUCAUAAGCUUGCGUUGAUUACGUCCCUGCCCUUUGUACACACCGCCCGUCGCUACUACCGAUUGAACGUUUUAGUGAGGUACUCGGACUGAGCCUCAGAAGAUUCACGUCUUUUGUGCUGCUCGGGAAGAUUCCCAAACUUGAGCGUUUAGAGGAAGUAAAAGUCGUAACA